UGAACUUAAGCAUAUCAAAAAGCGGGAGGA
rnacentral:rRNA from 1 species